rnacentral:rRNA from 1 species
CCUACGGGAGGCAGCAGUGGGGGAUAUUGCACAAUGGGGGAAACCCUGAUGCAGCGACGCCGCGUGAGUGAAGAAGUAUUUCGGUAUGUAAAGCUCUAUCAGCAGGGAAGAAAAUGCCAGUACCUGACCAAGAAGCCCCGGCUAACGACGUCCCAGGAGCCGCGGUAAUACGGGGGGUGCAAGCGUUCACCGGAUUUACUGGGGGUAACGGGAGCGUAGACGGUUUGGCAAGUCUGGAGUGAAAGCCCGGGGCCCAACCCCGGGACUGCUUUGGAAACUGUGUAACUGGAGUGCAGGAGAGGCAGGCGGAAUUCCAGGUGUAGCGGUGAAAUGCGUAGAUAUCAGGAGGAACACCGGCGGCGAAGGCGGCCUGCUGGACCGAAACUGACGUUGAGGAUCGAAAGCGUGGGGAGCAAACAGGAUUAGAUACCCUGGUAGUC